rnacentral:rRNA from 1 species
ACAUGAUUACAACAUAGUGUUAAUGCAAUGGAUCCCAUUAGAACUUCACAGUUAAGCACGCUCGUGCUAGAGUAGUACUCAAAUGGGUGACCACCCAGGAAGUCCUAGUGUUUUACAUGCC